GCCGGCGUAGCUCAGUUGGUAGAGCAGCGGUUUCGUAAACCGCAGGUCGGUGGUUCGAUCCCACUCGCCGGCUCCA
rnacentral:tRNA from 7 species